rnacentral:rRNA from 1 species
AUGGGGUUCAUUCACAAGGGUGGGGUUUGGUGGUUCCUCCUGCUCGCCGGGGUGCUGCUGGCUGCGGCGGCGGCAGCAGGCGCGGAGCAGGACGAUGGGGCGGUAGCCACUGCUGUCCCGGAGGUGGAGGAGGCGGAUGAGGCCCGUCUGCGCGUCGAUGAUCCGGAGGAGAACGACUCGUGCGACCUCAAGUGCCAACACCACCAAGUUCCGGCGAGGAAAAAGCAGUGCGUGGACGAGUGCCACAGCCGGGAGCAUCACCACCCCAGCAGAGCGUCUUGCGAGAACAAGUGUAGCCACUGGCAAGACCCGACGAGGAAGGACCAGUGCGUGCAACAGUGCAUGCGCCGCGGCCUCAGCCUCGCUGUGGGCGGCGGCAACGACGUCGACGAGCACCGCCACGCCCAAGAGGAGGAGGUCGCCGGGCGUCCGUGCGACAGGGAGUGCCAACUGUCUUGCCAAAGGAAGUGCCAGGGCUGGAAAGAUCGGACCAAGCACCAACAGUGCGUGCGACAAUGCGUUCGCGGCAGCAACAUCGUCGACGACGAGCACCUCCGCGGCUGGGAAGCGGUGGCCGGCGCCAUCAUCGAGGCGGUGUGA